rnacentral:rRNA from 1 species
AUUGAACGCUGGCGGCAGGCCUAACACAUGCAAGUCGAACGGUAACAGGAAACAGCUUGCUGUUUCGCUGACGAGUGGCGGACGGGUGAGUAAUGUCUGGGAAACUGCCUGAUGGAGGGGGAUAACUACUGGAAACGGUAGCUAAUACCGCAUAACGUCGCAAGACCAAAGAGGGGGACCCUCGGGCCUCUUGCCAUCGGAUGUGCCCAGAUGGGAUUAGCUUGUUGGUGGGGUAACGGCUCACCAAGGCGACGAUCCCUAGCUGGUCUGAGAGGAUGACCAGCCACACUGGAACUGAGACACGGUCCAGGCUCCUACGGGAGGCAGCAGUGGGGAAUAUUGCACAAUGGGCGCAAGCCUGAUGCAGCCAUGCCGCGUGUAUGAAGAAGGCCUUCGGGUUGUAAAGUACUUUCAGCGGGGAGGAAGGGAGUAAAGUUAAUACCUUUGCUCAUUGACGUUACCCGCAGAAGAAGCACCGGCUAACUCCGUG